GGGCGGCUAGCUCAGCGGGAGAGCAUUCGCUUCACACGCGAAGGGUCACAGGUUCGAUCCCUGUGCCGCCCACCA
rnacentral:tRNA from 2 species